AUCACAAAUUGCUAUUUAUCUAGGUAAUACUUUUUAUUUACGCAUUUAUUUGGUCACGUAAAUGUGCUUAGACCUAAUAAACAUAUGUAGUUGGUGAAAAUUAAUGCAUGACUCGUAAGCAGAGUAUGGAAUGUAAGCAUGUGCCAUGAAACUGCAAUUCUUUUAUCCUGUAUUUUCCAUCAUUUACAUACCGGUUCCAUUUAGAAGAUAGUCCAUUUUCACUUUUUUUUCAUAGAUUGGCCAAAAUGGGAAGGAUUGGAUUCCACUCUCUUCCACGAAGAGUCAAUGGGACUGGCUAAGAUCAAAGUCUGAGGCUUUUUCCAUCAGUAAUCAGUCCCUUUUUGCUUUCUUUUACGACCACAUGAAACUUGAGAAGCCACCUAAAGCUAUAUCAUUUAGUGGAGUUGGGCAGUUCCCAAGUGUCCAACAAGAAGGCCUGGUUUAGGCUGCGAUGGCCACUGUCAUUCCUGGUGAUUUGUCAGAAGUAAGAGAUACCCAGAAAGUCCCUUCAGGGAAACGUAAGCGUGGUGAAACCAAACCAAGAAAAAACUUUCCUUGCCAACUGUGUGACAAGGCCUUUAACAGUGUUGAGAAAUUAAAGGUUCACUCCUACUCUCACACAGGAGAGAGGCCCUACAAGUGCAUACAACAAGACUGCACCAAGGCCUUUGUUUCUAAGUACAAAUUACAAAGGCACAUGGCUACUCAUUCUCCUGAGAAAACCCACAAGUGUAAUUAUUGUGAGAAAAUGUUUCACCGGAAAGAUCAUCUGAAGAAUCACCUCCAUACACACGACCCUAACAAAGAGACGUUUAAGUGCGAAGAAUGUGGCAAGAACUACAAUACCAAGCUUGGAUUUAAACGUCACUUGGCCUUGCAUGCCGCAACAAGUGGUGACCUCACCUGUAAGGUAUGUUUGCAAACUUUUGAAAGCACGGGAGUGCUUCUGGAGCACCUUAAAUCUCAUGCAGGCAAGUCGUCUGGUGGGGUUAAAGAAAAAAAGCACCAGUGCGAACAUUGUGAUCGCCGGUUCUACACCCGAAAGGAUGUCCGGAGACACAUGGUGGUGCACACUGGAAGAAAGGACUUCCUCUGUCAGUAUUGUGCACAGAGAUUUGGGCGAAAGGAUCACCUGACUCGACAUAUGAAGAAGAGUCACAAUCAAGAGCUUCUGAAGGUCAAAACAGAACCAGUGGAUUUCCUUGACCCAUUUACCUGCAAUGUGUCUGUGCCUAUAAAAGACGAGCUCCUUCCGGUGAUGUCCUUACCUUCCAGUGAACUGUUAUCAAAGCCAUUCACAAACACUUUGCAGUUAAACCUCUACAACACUCCAUUUCAGUCCAUGCAGAGCUCGGGAUCUGCCCACCAAAUGAUCACAACUUUACCUUUGGGAAUGACAUGCCCAAUAGAUAUGGACACUGUUCAUCCCUCUCACCACCUUUCUUUCAAAUAUCCGUUCAGUUCUACCUCAUAUGCAAUUUCUAUUCCUGAAAAAGAACAGCCAUUAAAGGGGGAAAUUGAGAGUUACCUGAUGGAGUUACAAGGUGGCGUGCCCUCUUCAUCCCAAGAUUCUCAAGCAUCGUCAUCAUCUAAGCUAGGGUUGGAUCCUCAGAUUGGGUCCCUAGAUGAUGGUGCAGGAGACCUCUCCCUAUCCAAAAGCUCUAUCUCCAUCAGUGACCCCCUAAACACACCAGCAUUGGAUUUUUCUCAGUUGUUUAAUUUCAUACCUUUAAAUGGUCCUCCCUAUAAUCCUCUAUCAGUGGGGAGCCUUGGAAUGAGCUAUUCCCAGGAAGAAGCACAUUCUUCUGUUUCCCAGCUCCCCCCACAAACACAGGAUCUUCAGGAUCCUGCAAACACUAUAGGGCUUGGGUCUCUGCACUCACUGUCAGCAGCUUUCACCAGCAGUUUAAGCACAAGUACCACCCUCCCACGUUUCCAUCAAGCUUUUCAGUAGGAUUCUGGGACAUGGAUUCAUUACAGAAAUGUAUGUGUAGCUGUGCCCUAGAUGACCAUUUUUAUUUUAGUGCCUACUUUAAAACAGUAUAAAAAUUUCUGCUUUUGUAUAAUACAAAUUUUCAUUAAGCCAGUAUAAAAUAGAAACUAGCUUUUAAACUGAGCUUUGGAACCAUUUGUGUUCAGUUAAGUUUACCUGGGUAUUUUGUC
rnacentral:sRNA from 1 species